GACGAACGCUGGCGGCGUGCUUAACACAUGCAAGUCGAACGGAAAGGCCCUGCUUUUGUGGGGUGCUCGAGUGGCGAACGGGUGAGUAACACGUGAGUAACCUGCCCUUGACUUUGGGAUAACUUCAGGAAACUGGGGCUAAUACCGGAUAGGAGCUCCUGCUGCAUGGUGGGGGUUGGAAAGUUUCGGCGGUUGGGGAUGGACUCGCGGCUUAUCAGCUUGUUGGUGGGGUAGUGGCUUACCAAGGCUUUGACGGGUAGCCGGCCUGAGAGGGUGACCGGCCACAUGGGGACUGAGAUACGGCCCAGACUCCUACGGGAGGCAGCAGUGGGGAAUAUGGCACAAUGGGCGGAAGCCUGAUGCAGCAACGCCGCGUGCGGGAUGACGGCCUUCGGGGUGUAAACCGCUUUCGCCUGUGGCGAAGCGUGAGUGGCGGUAAUGGAUAAAGAAGCACCGGCUAACUACGUG
rnacentral:rRNA from 1 species